UGGUGCAUGGCGCGGCCGUCGGGGCGGCCCCGAUCGGGUGAGGGCCUGGCCCGGCCGCCAUCGUGGCUCAAUCCCUCUCCCGUCUCUGUGAGCUUUCUGCGGUGACUCCCCACAGGUAACUCUGAGCCGCUGGUGGAAAUCACAAAGUCGCAAGGCUGGAAGAGACCUUCAAGAUCGUCAAGUCCAACCAUCAGUGCAUCACCACCGUAAUCACCUCUAAACUGUAUCCUCGAGUGCCAUGUCCAGAUUCCUCUUGAACGCUUAUAGAGACGCACCUCAAUGUCCUUCCUGAGCUGAGGAGCCGAGAACUGGACACAGGGCUUGGAAGGUGGCCUCACCAGUGCCAAGUACUGCAGGGCAAUCACUGCCCUGGUCCUGCUGGUCACACUAUUCUUCAUACAGGUCAGGAUGCUAUUGGCCUUUUUGGCUACCUGAGCACAUUUCUGGCUCAUAUUCAGCUACCUGUCAAACAGCACCCCCAAGUCCCUUUCUCCUGAGCAGCACUCAAGCUGUUCUUUCCCCAGCCUGUCUUGCUGCGUGAGGUUAUUGCAACCCAAAUACAGGGCCUGGCACUCAGCCUUGUUGAAGCUCAUCCAGCUGCUCUCAGCCCAUCUAUCCAGCUUCUGCAGAGCCUUCCUGCACUCCUGCAGAUCAACACUCCCAACCAACAUAUGUCCUCUGCAAACUUACUGAGGAUGCACUCAACCCAAAUCAUCGACAAAGAUGUUAAACAGGACCAUCCGCAAUACUGGGCACCGAGGAACAGCAAUACUGAAUCCUGGGUGUCAUUUCACUCAAGUCUAGGAUGAAAUCACCCUAGCUUUUCAGGAGUGGGGCACCUGUUGCAGCUUACUGCCUUUAGUUGCAUAAGGGAGAGUGAUUUGUGACUGAGUGUUGUUAAGUGUUGUUGCAUCCGACCAGGUUUCCACGUGGAUUCCCACAAAACCAAAAUGUGAGGGAUCAUGAGUAAACAGAUUAGUUAUCAACUGCUGUUCCAGCUGUGCAUGUGACAGAUGUAAGGCUAAGGAAAACUGGUGGUUGUCUGAGGAUUAAAAAAUUUUGUUUAUAUUCAUCUUUCCACUACUUGGUUGUAAAAUGACCUUCAAUAAAUUCUACCACUUUAUAAGG